GUGUCGCCAGACUGUUGUUGUCACAAGGGUUUUGCGUGUUUUGGGAGGCACAUGAUGUCAAGAAGGGAGAUGAGCCGAUGGGUGUCGAUAUGGUUUUGGUCGAGGAGAAGUCUACUAUUAAUCAUACCUCUAUUAGCGUCCAUCGCCUAAAUACGCUCCUCAGAGAAGGGGCCGUUUCUGAGAAAAAAAAAAAAUCUUUGCAAAGCUUGCCUCUCGUAUGAAAGCAAGAUUCUCCCUCGAAACCUUUCUCGGGUUGAUUGCUGCUUUAUGGAGAGAUCUCUUGGACAGCUUUAUUCCGUGAGUAUUUGACAGAGAUCGAUAUGCUGUCUCAGUUUAGACACAUGCACCUGCUUCCUUUAAUCUGAAACUGCAAUGAGGAACAUCAAGAUGAUCAUGGUGGGCGAGUAUAUGGAAGAGGGAACGCUUAAGAACAUAUGUAUGACUUGGAUAACCCAAGGUGAGCUGCAGACAUAAGCUGGAGAUAUGCGUUGGUGCAGCUAGAGGGGAUCACUAUCUCCAUACAGGUUCCGCAAGAGCCAUCAUACACAGCGAUGUGAAGUAUGCUAAGUGCUAACAUUUUCUUGGAUGAGAACUUCAGGGCCAAAGUUGCAGAAUUUGGAUUGUCUGAGACUGGUCCGUAUCUUGACCAGACACAUAUGAGUACGACGGUGAAAGGAAGCUUUGCUUAUCUUGAUCCAGAGUACUUGACCAGACAACAACUGACUGGACCAGUCAUUUUUGUGAUGUGAUUCUUAAGGUACUAUGUGGGAUACCAGUCAUUGAUCCAUAUAUUUCAAGAGAGAAAGUGAAUUGAUCGAAUGUGCCACAAAGUUGGUGAAGAAAGCAAAGGUAGUAGAUCAUGGACCAAUUUUUUGAUGGCAAAGUAAAGCUUGAAAAGAUUAAGAAGCACUGUGAGUUAACAGAGAAGUGUUUGGUCCAAAACAGGAUUGAGAGGCCAAGAAUGGGAAGUUAUUUUGGAACCUAGAGUUUAUGCUUCAGGUCCAAGUGAAAGACGAUGAAACAGGAAUAUUGCAUGCUUAUCCAAAGGCUAGCAUUGUGGGAUCAAUGGUGGAUUUUAGUGUGGAUCGAAUUGGAUAUUUGGCAAGGUGUCUCAAUGAGUUAAGUUUUGUGGAAAGAAAAGACACUAGAUAAAAAAAGAUCAAAUAAGAGUAUCUAAAUUACUAUAGUGUUGUUUGUACAAGAGGGAGGAGAGACCACAUUACUUUUUUAU